rnacentral:rRNA from 1 species
AGCACCUUCGGGUGUGAAUUAGCGGCGAACGGGUGAGGAACACGUGAAGAAUCUGCCUUCAACUCUGGGAUAACUCCGGGAAACCGGGGCUAAUACCGGAUAUGAGCCUUGAUCGCAUGAUCGGGGCUGGAAAGUUUUUCGGUUGAAGAUGACUUCGCGGCCUAUCAGCUUGUUGGUGAGGUAAUGGCUCACCAAGGCGACGACGGGUAGCCGGCCUGAGAGGGCGACCGGCCACACUGGGACUGAGACACGGCCCAGACUCCUACGGGAGGCAGCAGUGGGGAAUAUUGGGCAAUGGAGGAAACUCUGACCCAGCGACGCCGCGUGAGGGAUGAAGGCCUUCGGGUUGUAAACCUCUUUCAGUAGGGAAGAAGCGAAAGUGACGGUACCUACAGAAGAAGCACCGGCUAACUAUGUGCCAGCAGCCGCGGUAAUACAUAGGGUGCAAGCGUUGUCCGGAAUUAUUGGGCGUAAAGAGCUCGUAGGUGGUUCGAUACGUCGGAUGUGAAAAUCAGGGACUCAACCCCUGACCUGCAUCCGAUAAGGUCGAGCUAGAGUUUGGUAGGGGAGACUGGAAUUCCUGGUGUAGCGGUGGAAUGCGCAGAUAUCAGGAGGAACACCGAUGGCGAAGGCAGGUCUCUGGGCCAAUACUGACACUGAGGAGCGAAAGCGUGGGGAGCGAACAGGAUUAGAUACCCUGGUAGUCCACGCCGUAAACGGUGGGCGCUAGUUGUGCGAACCUUCCACGGUUUGUGCGACGCAGCUAACGCA